rnacentral:rRNA from 1 species
UACGUAGGGAGCGAGCGUUGUCCGGAUUCAUUGGGCGUAAAGAGCUCGUAGGCGGCUUGGCAAGUCGGGUGUGAAAACUCCAGCUCAACCUGGAGACGCCACCCGAUACUGCCAUGCUAGAGUCCGGUAGGGGACCACGGAAUUCCUGGUGUGAGCGGUGGAAAUGCGCAGAUAUCAGGAGGAACACCGGUGGCGAAGGCGGGACUCUGGGCCGAUGACUGACGCUGAGGAGCGAAAGCGUGGGGAGCGAACAGG